UGGGGAAUUUUGGACAAUGGGCGAAAGCCUGAUCCAGCAAUGCCGCGUGUGUGAAGAAGGCCUUCGGGUUGUAAAGCACUUUUGUCCGGAAAGAAAUCCUCUGGGUUAAUACCUCGGGGGGAUGACGGUACCGGAAGAAUAAGCACCGGCUAACUACGUGCCAGCAGCCGCGGUAAUACGUAGGGUGCAAGCGUUAAUCGGAAUUACUGGGCGUAAAGCGUGCGCAGGCGGUUUUGUAAGACGGAUGUGAAAUCCCCGGGCUUAACCUGGGAACUGCAUUCGUGACUGCAAGGCUAGAGUAUGGCAGAGGGGGGUAGAAUUCCACGUGUAGCAGUGAAAUGCGUAGAGAUGUGGAGGAAUACCGAUGGCGAAGGCAGCCCCCUGGGCCAAUACUGACGCUCAUGCACGAAAGCGUGGGGGAGCAAACAGGAUUAGAUACCCCUGGUAGUCCACGCCCUAAACGAUGUCAACUAGUUGUUGGGGAUUCAUUUCCUUAGUAACGUAGCUAACGCGUGAAGUUGACCGCCUGGGGGAGUACGGUCGCAAGAUUAAAACUCAAA
rnacentral:rRNA from 1 species